UACGGAGGGGGCAAGCGUUAUUCGGAAUUACUGGGCGUAAAGCGCGCGCAGGUGGCGCGAUAAGUGGCAGGUGAAAGCCCUCGGCUCAACCGAGGAAUUGCCUGCCAGACUGUCGCGCUUGAGGCUGGGAGGGGAAAGCGGAAUUCCUGGUGUAGCGGUGAAAUGCGUAGAUACCAGGAGGAACACCGGUGGCGAAGGCGGCUUUCUGGACCAGUUCUGACACUCAUGCGCGAAAGCGUGGGGAGCAAACAGG
rnacentral:rRNA from 1 species